AUUGAACGCUGGCGGCAGGCCUAACACAUGCAAGUCGAGCGGAGCGGCGGACGGGUGCGUAAUGCCUAGGCAUCUGCCUGGUAGUGGGGGAUAAAGUCCGGAAACGGGCGCUAAUACCGCCUACUAUCAGCUGAGCCUAGGUCGAAAUAGCUAGUUGGUGGGGUAAAGGACUACCAAGGCGACGAUCCGUAACUGGAAUGAGAGGUUGAUCAGUCACACUAGAACUACGACACGGUCCGUACUCGUACGGCAGGCAUCAGUGGGGAAUAUUGGACAAUGGGCGAAAGCCUGAUGCAGCCAUGCCGCAUGUGUUAAGAAGGUCUUCGGAUUGUAAAGCACUUUAAGUUGAGAGGCGUUACCAACAGAAUAAGCACCGGCUAACUUCGUGCCAGCCGCCGCGGUAAUUC
rnacentral:rRNA from 1 species